rnacentral:rRNA from 1 species
AACUCUGUGCCAGCAGCCGCGGUAAUACAGAGGGUGCAAGCGUUAUUCGGAAUUACUGGGCGUAAAGCGCGCGUAGGCGGACUAUUAAGUCAGUUGUGAAAGCCCUGGGCUCAACCUGGGAACUGCAUCUGAUACUGGUAGUCUAGAGUUUAAGAGAGGGAAGUGGAAUUCCAGGUGUAGCAGUGAAAUGCGUAGAUAUCUGGAGGAACAUCAGUGGCGAAGGCGACUUCCUGGCUUAGAACUGACGCUGAGGUGCGAAAGCGUGGGUAGCGAACGGGAUUAGAUACCCCGGUAGUCCACGCCGUAAACGAUGUCAACUAGUUGUUGGUCUUAUUAAAAAGAUUAGUAACGAAGCUAACGCGAUAAGUUGACCGCCUGGGGAGUACGGUCGCAAGAUUAAAACUCAAAUGAAUUGGACGGGGG